rnacentral:rRNA from 1 species
CCUACGGGCGGCAGCAGUCGAGAAUCAUUCACAAUGGGGGAAACCCUGAUGGUGCGACGCCGCGUGGGGGAAUGAAGGUCUUCGGAUUGUAAACCCCUGUCAUGUGGGAGCAAAUUAAAAAGAUAGUACCACAAGAGGAAGAGACGGCUAACUCUGUGCCAGCAGCCGCGGUAAUACAGAGGUCUCAAGCGUUGUUCGGAAUCACUGGGCGUAAAGCGUGCGUAGGCUGUUUCGUAAGUCGUGUGUGAAAGGCGCGGGCUCAACCCGCGGACGGCACAUGAUACUGCGAGACUAGAGUAAGGGAGGGGGAACCGGAAUUCUCGGUGUAGCAGUGAAAUGCGUAGAGAUCGAGAGGAACACUCGUGGCGAAGGCGGGUUCCUGGACAUUAACUGACGCUGAGGCACGAAGGCCAGGGGAGCGAAAGGGAUUAGAUACCCUUGUAGUC